rnacentral:rRNA from 1 species
GAUGAACGCUGGCGGCGUGCCUAAUACAUUCAAGUCGAGCGAACGGACGAGAAGCUUGCUUCUCUGAUGUUAGCGUCGGACGGGUGAGUAACACGUGGAUAACCUACCUAUAAGACUGGGCUAACUUCGUGAAACCGGAGCUAAUACCGGAUAAUAUUUUGAACCGCAUGGUUCACAAGUGAAAGACGGUCUUGCUGUCACUUAUAGAUGUAUCCGCGCUGCAUUAGCUAGUUGGUAAGGUAACGGCUUACCAAGGCAACGAUGCAUAGCCGACCUGAGAGGGUGAUCGGAGAAGCUGGAAUGGAGACACGGUCAAGACUGGUAAGGGAGGCAGAAGUAGGGAAGCUUCCGCAAUGGGCGAAAGCGUGAAGGAGCAACGCCGGGGGAGGGAGGAAGGUCUUCGGAUCGUAAAAAGCUGUUAGUAGGGAAGAACAUAUGUGAAAGUAACUGGGCACAUCGUGACGGUACAGAAGCAGAAAGACACGGCUAACUACGUG